UACGUAGGGUGCAAGCGUUGUCCGGAAUUAUUGGGCGUAAAGAGCUCGUAGGCGGUUUGUCGCGUCUGCUGUGAAAACCCGAGGCUCAACCUCGGGCCUGCAGUGGGUACGGGCAGACUAGAGUGCGGUAGGGGAGACUGGAAUUCCUGGUGUAGCGGUGAAAUGCGCAGAUAUCAGGAGGAACACCGGUGGCGAAGGCGGGUCUCUGGGCCGUAGCUGACGCUGAGGAGCGAAAGCGUGGGGAGCGAACAGG
rnacentral:rRNA from 1 species